CCCUCGAUAGCUCAGUUGGAAGAGCGCGAGACUGUAAUUGGAAAACAUUGUAAUCUUGAGGUCGCUGGUUCGAUCCCGGCUUGAGGGA
rnacentral:tRNA from 1 species